ensembl:lncRNA
UAUCCCUUUUUUCCUUUUUUAACUAAUAGCACUUUUUGUCUUACACAGCCUGCUUUCUUCAUGUUUAUUCCUCUAAUGCUUUUAUGACUAGGAAUUAUAUCACUUAUUCAGUCAGGUAAGCAAACAAAGCUUCUGCUCUAUGGUCAAAGCACUGAUUUCCAACCCCUCCCCUUCCUCUUUCUUUUGAUCAUCCUAAACUGUGUCCAAUCUGCAUAUUUGGCUCAGAUCUGAGAAAGAUUUGCACCUUAGUUUGCCUACUGCCCUCACUUAAAGCAGCAUGGCACACAGUGUCCCUUGGUAUCUCUUAAUAUCCUUCAGAAUGCCUGAAGUCCGUGAAACUUCGUGGUCCUGUCUUUCAUUUUGGAGCUGGUGCUGUUGUGUCAUUUCCCAGCUGAGGCCGGCAUGGAGUCUGCAGGUGCUUCUCUGCUUCGUUCAGCUGAUUACUGCCGUUGAACAGUUGAGCACAAACCACCGAUGGAGGAGAGAAUAACAGUGAGAGCUCAUGUAGGCAGUCUUCCGUUGUUGCUGGGAAGCAGCAGGAAUGAGCAACCACAUUCUCUAAAGCUAUCGUUUAUGCUGGUGCUCUUCUUUGCUUUUUACUCCUUGUGCUCUAGAUUGAAUCCUUUGGCUACUGUUACUGAUCUUGGCUGAGAAACUGUAAUUUGUAGUCUUAAGACUGCUGCUGGGGAUCACACAGCUCUGUCUCUUAUUAAAAAAUAAACAACAGCCCACAAAACCUUCUAGUGAAUCCCUUCCGUUCUGCAAGCACUGUGCUGUCAUUUGAUGGGUCAAUGUCACCAUUCUGUUGCCAUCUCUGCUACCAGAAAGCUCUUCCGUGUUGAUGCUUGAGUCUUCAUUCUUCUUAAACAGGGCACAUAAAAUAAUCGGAAAGUCUCCAGGCAGCUAUGGGUUGCUGCUCUAAAUUGGGGUCUCACCUGCUUUAUCUCACAGGUAUGUCAGUCUCAUGACCCGUGGUCACUUUGUGAUGGGCUGAGCUUUUUCCUCCUGGUUUCCAAAUGAAGGAGCUGUUUAUGGCCGAAAUAUAUCAUGCCCAAGAAUAUGGCUGAAUCUUCUGUGAUGGAAUUCACUUCUCUUAUUCAAGUUCUUAGGAUUGUCCAGCUCUUUCUGGGCAGCAUCCUGAUUCUCUCUUUGUAACAUGGUUUUAUCAACAGACAUGACCAUGUUCCUCCAUCUUAUGCUGGGGUUGCUAAUAGGAAAAAAACCAUAACAAGCCUAUAAUUCCUAAACCUAGCUGAUUAAUGUUUAAUUCUAGGGUAAACACCUUUCCAUCAGUAGAGAAUAGUUACGUGUAGAAGUCUUCAGAAAAGUGGUAUUUUGAGGGGGAAAAAAAAUAGAAAUAAAAAUCAAGAUUUAAAACAUGUUCAGAGUAUUUUGGGGACUUAGAAAAAUCAGAUAGUGUGAUCCAGUUCUUCUGAAGGCAUUUCAGCUCAUUCUGAGUUACUGAACUCAGUGAAGGAAACUGGACAGAAAAUCUGCUUAUUUCCUUAAAUCAGUGGUAAAGUAGUUGAUGUAGUAUUGUUUCGAUUUGUGUAUUAGUUAUAAGUACUUUUUGAUCCAAAUGUGUGGUAAGUGUGUUAAAGAAGAAUGUAAGGAGUGGGGAGGUGGCUGAGAUAGAACCUGUAAGCCCUGCUAAGACAACUGUUAAAUACCGAAAGGUUCUUCAGUCAUUCAAACAGCAAAAUAGAAAGGGGAGGCAAAGCUGUCCUUAAAGGUGAUUGCAUUUAAGCAUUUGGUUCAUUCAUUUUGUAAAAUCAUGGGGGGGGGGAAGGCUGGAUGGCUGAUGAAUGUAAGGGUUUAGAAACUGAGGUGGUUAUAAAAGUGAAAGGUGCUAAAGCACUGAAGUACAGAUUGUGUGAUGUGCUCCAAAAACUUUCAAGAGUGCUUUUUUUAAGCUAUACCAGAGUUGUGGUGUUAAUCUUUUUCAUAAAGAACGUGUAUGUUGAAAUAGCUGAACUACUGCACUUAAUCCAGAUUGGUUCUUUUUUCUUUUUUAAACAGUAACAAAAACUUGGACAGCUUAGAACUGAACAGCUAUGUAUACUCACGUGGCUUCAGUAGACUUGGGGAAAAAACCUCAUACUGAGUGCUCACCACAGAAAAUAAAAUACAGUCAGCUUAUCAAAAGCAGCUCACGCUGGAAUAACCUGGUGUCUUCUCUGGCAAGACUUCAGUAAGGUCCUUGAUGGGAACCUAUAUGGAAGAAUGCUACUGAAGCUGCACUUUUAUCAAAAGAGCUGUAAUGUUGUUGACAAGGUUGCCAGGAAGUGGUGACAGGUAGUUUAGGAAAUGGAAGGAGAGGAAUGGGGGCAGGUUUUAGAGAACGUGCCUUUCAUGUGUGGCUUAGGUAUAAGGGGUGCCUAUACCUGCUAGGGCUUUGCACGAUGGACAUUUAAUAUUCAGAAUUAAAAAUAAAUCAGGAAGUCUAGAGACAUAGUGGUCACUUCACUACUUGAAGUGACACAAACUUUGCACUGAUGUGUUUUCUGAACUUCUGAAAUUCUGUUUUCUUUUGUCUGGAGUUUGCUGUUGACAACUGGUAAGCACUGACUGAACUACUAAUGUGAAUGUUCAAGUGGAAGCAAGUAAUACUGCUCUCUUUCAAUUUGUGUUGUGUGUUAUUUAUAAGAAGCUGUGAGGUCAUUGGCUUCCUGUAUGAGCCACUUCCUGAAAGCUUUUGUUUUACAUGGUAAAUCUAAAAAUGUAUUUCUUCGAAAAACUCAGCUGUGUUUUGUUUUCUCUUCUCUUGCUUCUGUCUCCUAAACUCUUGCUUCUGCUCCAUUGCUUAUUGCAGGCCAGGAUACGUUGUAAUGGAGGGCACGAGCUCUGCUCUAGGAGUGCUACAGAGAAAGGUAGUUCCAAAAAGCCAUCACCAUUGGUAGAGUUGGAGCAGCUUAAAGCAGGCUGACAUGCAGCAAUAUUGACAGCAUCAAAUGUUAGUAAACAUGUGAGUCAUACAUAGGCAAAUAAUCAGUUUACGUCUAACAUUAGCAAAACCUGAACUAGCAAAACUAUUCAGUGCAUUAUAUUCAUGUUCAGUUCUAAAUAUCUAAGGGACAGUUAUUGCUGUGCAAUGCUGUAGUUGAAAUUACCUGCAGUUUUUCUUUUAAGGUUCUCAUACAGUCAGUGGCUUCUGAAUGCUUAGUUUUUAAAACAAACUAUCAAACUUCAUUAGACUUCAAGGAUUUGGCAAUAAAAGGAGGCAAACAUAUAUAUGUGCGUGAGAAAGGAAG